rnacentral:rRNA from 1 species
UACGUAGGAUGCGAGCGUUGUCCGGAAUUAUUGGGCGUAAAGAGAACGUAGGCGGCAAUCUAAGUUCGAUCUUAAAGACCGGGGCUUAACCCCGGGAAUGGAUUGAAAACUGGAUUGCUGGAGGAUGUCAGAGGAAGGUGGAAUUCCCAGUGUAGCGGUGAAAUGCGUAGAUAUUGGGAGGAACACCUGUGGCGAAAGCGGCCUUCUGGGGCAUUCCUGACGCUGAGGUUCGAAAGCUCGGGGAGCAAACAGG